rnacentral:rRNA from 1 species
GACGAACGCUGGCGGCGUGCUUAACACAUGCAAGUCGAACGAAGUGGCGAACGGGUGCGUAACGCGUAAUCAACCUGCCCUUCAGAGGGGGGCAACAGUGGGAAAAGACUGCUAAUACCGCAUACUGAGGGAGGGGAGUGCGUCGGAUUAGCUGGUGGGAGGGGUAACGGCCCACCAAGGCGAUGAUCAGGAGCCGGGCUGAGAGGAUGAACGGCCACAUUGGGACUGAGACACGGCCCAGACUCCGACGGGAGGCAGCAGUGGGGAAUCUUCCGCAAUGGACGAAAGUCUGACGGAGCAACGCCGCGUGAGUGAUGACGGCCUUCGGGUUGUAAAGCUCUGUUAAUCGGGACGCGGUACCGGAAUAGAAAGCCACGGCUAACUACGUGCCAGCAGCCGCGGUAAUAC